rnacentral:rRNA from 1 species
AGCUCCAAUAGCGUAUAUUAAAGUUGUUGCGGUUAAAAAGCUCGUAGUUGGAUCUCGGCAGCCAGGGGGCGGUUCGGAGCAUUCCGCUACUGCCCCAUUUGGCUGUGUGGUUGGCGGAGGCUGCGCGGUGCUCUUCGCUGAGUGUCACGUGGUGCCGUCAGGUUUACUUUGAAAAAAUUAGAGUGCUCAAAGCAGGCUUCACACGCUUGAAUAUUCGUGCAUGGAAUAAUGGAAUAGGAACUCGUUUCUAUUUUGUUGGUUUUCGGAAAUUGAGUUAAUGAUUAAUAGGGACAAUUGGGGGCAUUAGUAUUCAGACGACAGAGGUGAAAUUCUUGGACCGUCUGAAGACUAACUACUGCGAAAGCAUUUGCCAAGAGUGUUUUCAUUAAUCAAGAACGAA